rnacentral:rRNA from 1 species
GCCUUCGGGAACGCAGUGACAGGUGCUGCACGGCUGUCGUCAGCUCGAGUUGUGAAAUGUUGGGUUAAGUCCCGCAACGAGCGCAACCCCUAUUGAUAGUUACAAUCAUUAAGUUGGGUACUCUAUUAAGACUGCCGCUGACAAGGCGGAGGAAGGUGGGGACGACGUCAAGUCAUAAUGGCCCUUACGACCAGGGCUACACACGUGCUACAAUGGGUAUUACAGAGGGCUGCGAAGGUGAGAGCUGGAGCGAAACUCAAAAAGGUACUCUUAGUCCGGAUUGCAG